rnacentral:rRNA from 1 species
CCUACGGGUGGUAGCAGUGAGGAAUAUUGGUCAAUGGGCGCGAGCCUGAACCAGCCAAGUAGCGUGAAGGAUGACUGCCCUACGGGUUGUAAACUUCUUUUAUAAAGGAAUAAAGUGAGGCACGUGUGCCUUUUUGUAUGUACUUUAUGAAUAAGGAUCGGCUAACUCCGUGCCAGCAGCCGCGGUAAUACGGAGGAUCCGAGCGUUAUCCGGAUUUAUUGGGUUUAAAGGGAGCGUAGAUGGGUUGUUAAGUCAGUUGUGAAAGUUUGCGGCUCAACCGUAAAAUUGCAAUUGAUACUGGCAGCCUUGAGUACAGUUGAGGUAGGCGGAAUUCGUGGUGUAGCGGUGAAAUGCUUAGAUAUCACGAAGAACUCCGAUUGCGAAGGCAGCUUACUAAUCUAUAUCUGACGUUGAGGCACGAAAGCGUGGGGAGCAAACAGGAUUAGAUACCCUGGUAGUC